UGGGGGCAGAGCGUCUUUGAUGGAAGAGUUUGAAAAGUUUGUCUACUUCUAAUUAAAUCGAUGACUGGAGAAAGAAGUGUUUGAACGGCAGCCAUUGACAAAUUGACGUCCAUGAUGGGAACAUCAUUGUGUUGGCGACUGCUGUUGGUCUUUUCUUCUUGGUUGGUGGUAAACUAUGGAUCCCAGUUGGCGUCUAGAAAAAGCCUUUCAUAGUUAGCAUGCCAUGUAAUACGAGGUUAGUAUAAUUCAUUAGAUGG
rnacentral:lncRNA from 1 species